AAGGGAAACAGCCCAGAUCAUCAGCUAAGGCCCCUAAUUCAGGACUAAGUGGAAAACGAUGUGGAUUUGCACAGACAGCCAGGAGGUUGGCUUAGAAGCAGCCAUCCUUGAAAGAGUGCGUAACAGCUCACUGGUCGAGUGAAUCUGCGCGGACAAUUUAACGGGGCUCAAGUCCUGAGCCGAAGCUAUGGAUUUCAACAUUUAUGUUGGAGUGGUAGAGGAGCGUUGAUGAUGCGACUGAAGCGGCGGGAUAACCCGACGUGGAGUGUCAUCAAGUGAGAAUGUAGGCAUGAGUAGCGAGAGAGGAGUGAGAAACUCCUCCGCCGUAAGCCCAAGGGUUCCUGGGGAAGGCUAAUCCUCCCAGGGUAAGUCGGGAGCUAAGACGAGGCCGCGAGGCGUAGUCGAUGCACAACUGGUUGAUAUUCCAGUACCGCCAUAUACGCGCCAAGCUCAAUAUCGACAAAGUGGGGGCUGCCUUCGGGCGAACCUGCCUAGUUGGUUGCGGGUAACUGAAGGGGGACGCAGAAGGAUAGGUGAACCGGGGCGAUGGUAGUCCCCGGGUAAGUGCGUAGGAGGAUCCCGAUGAGAGUUGGGGUCACAUACUCUGAGACACGAUGCCGAGCACAUUUGUGCGAAGUCACUAAUUCCAUACUGCCAAGAAAAGCCCAGCAGUGAGUAGAUAUGGCGCCCGUACCCCAAACCGACGCAGGUGGGCGGGUAGAGAAUACCAAGGCGAUCGGGAGAACUAUGGUUAAGGAACUCGGCAAAAUGCCUCCGUAACUUCGGAAGAAGGAGGACCCACGUAGGGUGAAGCGACUUCGCGUCGCCAGCCUGAAUGGGUGGCACAGAGCAGGGGGUAGCGACUGUUUAACAAAAACACAGCAGCGUGCGAAGCCGCAAGGCGCUGUAUACGCUGUGACGCCUGCCCAAUGCUGGAAGGUCACGAGGAUCGGUUAGUCGUAAGGCGAAGCUGUGAAUCUAAGCCCCAGUGAAUGGCGGCCGUAACUAUAACGGUCCUAAGGUAGCGAAAUUCCUUGUCGGGUAAGUUCCGACCUGCACGAAUGGCGUAACGACUUCCCCGCUGUCUCAACCAUAGACCCGGCGAAAUUGAAGUACGAGUAAAGAUGCUCGUUUGCUGCGGAAGGACGGAAAGACCCCGUGGACCUUUACUAUAACUUGAUGUUGAGCUUUGAAAUGGGCUGUGUAGGAUAGGUGGGAGACUGUGAAGCAGGUGCGCUAGCACUUGUGGAGUCAUUGGUGAAAUACCACCCUGCGUAUUUUGGAGCUCUAACUUUGGUCCGUAAUCCGGAUCAGGGACAGCGUCAGGCGGGUAGUUUGACUGGGGCGGUCGCCUCCUAAAUUGUAACGGAGGCGCUCAAAGGUUCCCUCAGACUGGUUGGUAAUCAGUCGUCGAGUGUAAUGACACAAGGGAGCUUGACUGCGAGACUGACAGGUCAAGCAGGUGCGAAAGCAGGACAUAGUGACCCGGCCAUUGCUUGUGGAAGCGUGGUCGCUCAACGGAUAAAAGGUACCCCGGGGAUAACAGGCUAAUCUUUCCCAAGAGUCCAUAUCGACGGAAAGGUUUGGCACCUCGAUGUCGGCUCAUCGCAUCCUGGGGCUGAAGCAGGUCCCAAGGGUUGGGCUGUUCGCCCAUUAAAGCGGUACGCGAGCUGGGUUCAGAACGUCGUGAGACAGUUCGGUCCCUAUCCUCCGCAGCCGAAGGUGAUUUGAGGAAGGCUGUCCCUAGUACGAGAGGACCGGGACGGACGGAGCUCUGGUGUGUCAGUUGUCCUGCCAAGGGCACGGCUGAUUAGCCACCUCCGGAAGGGAUAACCGCUGAAAGCAUCUAAGCGGGAAGCCCGUUCCAAGAUGAGUUCACCCAUGCAGUUAAUGCAGUAAGGCCCGUGGCGAGACCACCACGUUGAUAGGCCGGAAGUGUACAGAUGGCAACAUCUUCAGCUGACCGGUACUAAUCGGCCGAGGGCUUGGAUU
rnacentral:rRNA from 1 species